rnacentral:rRNA from 1 species
CCUACGGGUGGCUGCAGUGGGGAAUAUUGCACAAUGGGGGAAACCCUGAUGCAGCGACGCCGCGUGAGUGAAGAAGUAAUUCGUUAUGUAAAGCUCUAUCAGCAGGGAAGAAAAUGACGGUACCGGGUAAGAAGCCCCGGCUAACUACGGGCCAGCAGCCGCGGGAAUACGGAGGGGGCAAGCGUUAUCCGGAUUUCAUGGGGGUAAAGGCGGCGUAGAAGGGAGUGCAAGUCUGGAGUGAAAGGCGGGGGGUCAACCCCCGAACUGCUCUUGAAACUGUACGGCUGGAGUGCAGGAGAGGUAAGUGGAAUUCCUAGUGUAGCGGUGAAAUGCGUAGAUAUUAGGAGGAACACCAGUGGCGAAGGCGGCUUACUGGACUGUAACUGACGUUGAGGCUCGAAAGCGUGGGGAGCAAACAGGAUUAGAUACCCUAGUAGUC